UGGGGAAUAUUGCACAAUGGGCGCAAGCCUGAUGCAGCCAUGCCGCGUGUGUGAAGAAGGCCUUCGGGUUGUAAAGCACUUUCAGCGAGGAGGAAGGUGGUGAGCUUAAUACGCUCAUCAAUUGACGUUACUCGCAGAAGAAGCACCGGCUAACUCCGUGCCAGCAGCCGCGGUAAUACGGAGGGUGCAAGCGUUAAUCGGAAUUACUGGGCGUAAAGCGCACGCAGGCGGUUUGUUAAGUCAGAUGUGAAAUCCCCGGGCUCAACCUGGGAACUGCAUUUGAAACUGGCAAGCUAGAGUCUCGUAGAGGGGGGUAGAAUUCCAGGUGUAGCGGUGAAAUGCGUAGAGAUCUGGAGGAAUACCGGUGGCGAAGGCGGCCCCCCUGGACGAAGACUGACGCUCAGGUGCGAAAGCGUGGGGCAGCAAACAGGAUUAGAUACCCUGGUAGUCCACGCUGUAAACGAUGUCGAUUUGGAGGUUGUGCCCUUGAGGCGUGGCUUCCGGAGCUAACGCGUUAAAGUCGACCGCCUGGGGGAGUACGG
rnacentral:rRNA from 1 species